rnacentral:rRNA from 1 species
AGCACCGGCUAACUCCGUGCCAGCAGCCGCGGUAAUACGGAGGGUGCGAGCGUUAAUCGGAAUUACUGGGCGUAAAGCGCAUGCAGGUGGUUUGUUAAGUCAGAUGUGAAAGCCCGGGGCUCAACCUCGGAAUUGCAUUUGAAACUGGCAGACUAGAGUACUGUAGAGGGGGGUAGAAUUUCAGGUGUAGCGGUGAAAUGCGUAGAGAUCUGAAGGAAUACCGGUGGCGAAGGCGGCCCCCUGGACAGAUACUGACACUCAGAUGCGAAAGCGUGGGGAGCAAACAGGAUUAGAUACCCUGGUAGUCCACGCCGUAAACGAU